UAAUAAUAAUCUGAAGACGACAUGUUGCCCCUCCUCUUUGAACCCGGGCUUGGGACCGGCUGUGUCGAAUAGACAUAAACGACACAGGCAGAGUUGUCAGGUGUCGUUUUAAGCUCUUCAAAAAUAAUGGAAGGCCUUAAAAUGACAAUAAAUCUUCAAUUGAUUAUAUUUUUAAUUUUGGAUGGGCUCUCCACUGAUCAUCUGAAGAGCGAGAGCAAGAAGGCCGCCAUUGACAGACCAAACACCGACCAAAUUAUCCAGCACAAACUCCCCGGAAGGAAGGAGAUCGCCAUUAGGUAGAACAUCAUCGAGGAAUUGAGAAGGCGGAAUCUGUGGAGAGACGAGCAAUCCUACGGCCGCCUGAAAAGUGAGACUCAAAUUCCUCUCCCCGACGCUCCUGGAACGGUUCGCCCUUGGAAUUGGAUAGCUCUGGAAUUCAUUAACCACGUACAAUGGAAGUGUGCGAUGUUGCAGUGCGUCGAAUCUCCUUCGAUUGAGCGCCAUUGCGUGAAUAAAUCUGAUCGGGAUAAAGCUUGUUUUAUGACAUUACGAAAGGAAAAUGGAGGAGGAUCUGGAGGAGGAGGAGGUGAAUUGGAAGCCAUGGCUGUGCAAGAGGAUUCUCCAGAUGGGCAGCAUGUCCUGAGUCCGGGAUCUCGACUAUUUCAUGGAGGGAAACAACUGGGUCAUCCUUGAUCUUCCUGCCCAUAUCAAUUUGAGA